rnacentral:rRNA from 1 species
AACGAACGUGGCGGCGUGGAUUAGGCAUGCAAGUCGAACGAAUCCCAUUUGGGUAACGGGAUGGGGGAAGUGGCGAAAGGGGCAGUAAGGCAUGGAUAACCUACCCGGGAGUUGGGCAUAGCCAUUCUAACGAAUGGGUAAUUCCCGAUGGCCCAGCGAGGAGACAUCUCUUUGCUGGUAAAGAGUUUCGCUCCGGGAGGGGUCCAUGUGCUAUUAGCUAGUUGGCGGGGUAACGGCCCACCAAGGCUAAGAUGGCUAGCGGGUGUGAGAGCACGACCCGCGCCACUGGCACUGAGACACUGGCCAGACACCUACGGGUGGCUGCAGUCGAGGAUCUUCGUCAAUGGGCGAAAGCCUGAACGAGCGACGCCGCGUGCGCGAUGAAGGCCUUCGGGUUGUAAAGCGCGAAAGUGGGGAAGAAAGCUGAAAGGUUUGACCGAUCCACAGUAAGCUCGGGCUAAGUUCGUGCCAGCAGCCGCGGUAAGACGAACCGAGCGAACGUUGUUCGGAAUCACUGGGCUUAAAGGGCGCGUAGGCGGGCAUUCAAGUCUAUGGUGAAAUCCGGCAGCUCAACUGUCGAAUUGCCGUGGAUACUGGGU